rnacentral:rRNA from 1 species
UACGUAGGGUGCAAGCGUUAAUCGGAAUUACUGGGCGUAAAGCGUGCGCAGGCGGUUUUGUAAGUCAGAUGUGAAAUCCCCGGGCUUAACCUGGGAACUGCGUUUGAAACUACAAGGCUAGAGUGUGGCAGAGGGGGGUGGAAUUCCACGUGUAGCAGUGAAAUGCGUAGAGAUGUGGAGGAACACCGAUGGCGAAGGCAGCCCCCUGGGUUAACACUGACGCUGAGGUGCGAAAGCGUGGGGAGCAAACAGG